AUACAAUAUAGUUUCGUGCAGUUGGUUUAUUCGUUAACUUAAUAUUUGACUGUUUUUUUCAGCCGAUCAAAUGCCGUACAAAUACGGAUGCUGGUGGAUUACAUGGCGAGUAACACGAGAUUUGCAAACCGCGAAUACAAUGGGCCUCUCGGAGCGCAAAGAUAUGAAGCGCAAUGGGAGGCCCUCGCACAGGCGCUCAGGGAGCACGGGCCGGAUAAAUCUGUCCAGGCUUGGAAAGUGGUAAGUAAAUAUAAUUCCCAUAACUAGGAUCGCUCUGUGACUUGUCUGCAAAGAAGUCUUUCUAAACAUGAUAAUUAUUUAAAUUAAUUUUUGAAUGAAAUUACUAGAGAUUGAAUGGAUAGUUGUUUGGCCGGAUACCGGAUACCAAAUAUCCGGUGGAUCUCUAGAAAUUGCAGUGCAAUCUGUAUAAUAUAAAUAGUGCCAUCAUUAUCACAACUUAAUAAUGUGGAAGUAUAGUAUAAUGGCAAGUAAAAUGAACAUCUUAAUUAUAUCUAAGGCAUAUUGUUAUACAUUAUAAAAUAUAAUAAUUAUUAUUUCAAAAACAGGUAUAGGAAUAUAAUUUGGCUGCUUAAUUUUAAGGUGUCAUUUAAAAUUGCAUGUGUCAAUUAUAUUUUUUCUGUCAGACAUGGCGUGACUUGAGCCGAAAGGCUCGGUCAAAUAAUGCUGCAGCCAACGGGGCUCGGGCCCAGACUGGCAAUGCUGUGGAAAUACCAAUGGUCAGUCAGGAGGAACAGCUAAUCCUGACUGCAAUCGGAAAAGAUACCUCCGAGGGAGUGGGUCCGGCGGAGUCAAGGAUUGGAGAUUAAUCUUUUGGAGGAGACGGAGAACAUAGAAAACUUGGAGGAUACUGAAAUAAUGGAAGAGGAAGAUGAUUAAUAGUAGUUAAUUAAUGUGACUUCAUUCUUUCACACUUCUUCAUGUAAGGCGUUAUGUUUGUCUACACUCAAGUAUACAAUUGUGUUUUUAGCUACUAAUACGAAAAAAUUAUAUAUUUAUAAUUCUUAAAUAACUCAAUUCUAAUA